rnacentral:lncRNA from 1 species
AGCAGCUCGGGUGGCGGGAGGAGUGGCAGCGGCCAGGCAGCCCAGUUUCGCGAAGGCUCUCGGCGCGCCGCAGCCCGCAGGCACCCGGCACACACCCUCCCUGCCACCAGGAUGCCCAAGAGGAAGGUCAGCUCCACCAAAGGGGCCGCCAAGGAAGAGCCCAAGAGGAGAUCGGCGCGGUUGUCAGCUAAACCUCCUGCAAAAGUGGAAGUGAAGCCAAAAAAGGCAGCAGCGAAGGAUAAAUCUUCAGACAAAAAAGUGCAAACAAAAGGGAAAAGGAGAGCAAAGGGAAAACAGGCCGAAGUGGCUAACCAAGAAACUAAAGAAGAUUUACCUGCAGUAAACAGGGAAACGAAAACUGAGGAGAGUCCAGCCUCUGAUGAAGCAGGAGAGAAAGAAGCCAAGUCUGAUUAAUACCAUAUACCAUGUCUUAUCAGUGGUCCCUGUCUCCCUUCUUGUACAAUCCAGAGGAAUAUUUUUAUCAACUAUUUUGUAAAUGCAAGUUUUUUAGUAGCUCUAGAAACAUUUUUAAGAAGGAGGGAAUCCCACCUCAUCCCACUUUUUAAGUGUAAAUGCUUUUUUUAAGAGGUGAAAUCAUUUGCUGGUUGUUUAUUUUUUGGUACAACCAGAAAAUAGUGUGGGAUAUUGAAUUAUGGGAGGCUCUGACUGUCUCGGGUGUCAGCUUAACAUUCCAUAGAUGGGGGGGUUAGUUUUUAUAUCCUAUAAUACAAAGCAUAUUAAAUGGCAAUAUGGAGUCAGUCCUGCAUUUAAUGUCUUGAACAUUUUAAAUUACUUCUAUUCCCAUGUUGUUUUUUAGUAGAAUUGUUUCCUAAAGAAAACCACUCUUUGAUCAUGGCUCUCCCUGUCAGAAUUGUGUGCACUCUGUAACAUCUUUGGUUGUGGUUUUCCUAAUCACUUGGUUACUGUGCUGUGAAAGAUUACAAAUUUGAACAUGUAGUGUACGUGCUAUUCAGUUGUGAACUGGUGGGCCGUAUGUAACAGCUGACCAACAUGUGAAGAUACUGGUACUUGAUAGCCUCUUAAGGAAAAUUUGCUUCCAAAUUUUAAGCUGGAAAGUCACUGGAAUAACUUUAAAAAAGAAUUACAAUACAUGGCUUUUUAGAAUUUCGUUAUGUAUGUUAAGAUUUGUGUACAAAUUGAAAUGUCUGUACUGAU